UGAAAUGCAUAGAUAUCACGCAGAACUCCGAUUGCGAAGGCAGCUUACUAAGCUACAACUGACACUGAAGCACGAAAGCGUGGGGAUCAAACAGGAUUAGAUACCCUGGUAGUCCACGCAGUAAACGAUGAUUACUAGCUGUUUGCGAUACACAGUAAGCGGCACAGCGAAAGCGUUAAGUAAUCCACCUGGGGAGUACGCCGGCAACGGUGAAACUCAAAGGAAUUGACGGGGGCCCGCACAAGCGGAGGAACAUGUGGUUUAAUUCGAUGAUACGCGAGGAACCUUACCCGGGUUUGAACGUAGGGAGACAGGNGUGGAAACAUUCUUUUCAGCAAUGACUGCCUACGAGGUGCUGCAUGGUUGUCGUCAGCUCGUGCCGUGAGGUGUCGGCUUAAGUGCCAUAACGAGCGCAACCCUUAUUUCCAGUUACUAACAGGUGAUGCUGAGGACUCUGGAGAGACUGCCAGCGUAAGCUGUGAGGAAGGUGGGGAUGACGUCAAAUCAGCACGGCCCUUACAUCCGGGGCGACACACGUGUUACAAUGGUAAGGACAAAGGGCAGCUACCGGGCGACCGGAUGCGAAUCUCUAAACCUUAUCUCAGUUCGGAUCGGAGUCUGCAACUCGACUCCGUGAAGCUGGAUUCGCUAGUAAUCGCGCAUCAGCCAUGGCGCGGUGAAUACGUUCCCAGGCCUUGUACACACCGCCCGUCAAGCCAUGGGAGCCGGGGGUACCUGAAGUUCGUAACCGCAA
rnacentral:rRNA from 1 species